GGGGGAAAUAGGGAAUAAAUUGGGGAAAAUGGGGAGAAUUUGUAAUAAAAAAAUUGGGAAAACAAGAAAAAAAUGUGUAGAAAAAUGGGGCAAACAUUGUGGAAAAAAAAUCGAAUCAUGUACAUACAACACUGGCAUUUGAAGAAAAUGGUGCUUUACCUUGGGCUAAGAUUGCUCUUUUUUACAGUGACGAAAAUUGGCCCUCCGUCGAGCAAACUUGCCUACCCUGAUGCAUGUUUCAUUGUUUCAUUUACUCGGAGUCACUACCAGUCCCAGACAAGCAGGGACGUUCAUGCUUGCAGCUUUAUUUCACAGGUUUUGUGGCAUCCUUUGCUUUUACUCUGAAGCGCCGUAACCGGAUGCGUCGCCGCCAUGCUUUGGCGCUUGUUGUUGACACCCGGCCAUCCUCCAGUCCAGCGAAUCCACACAGAGCCGCUUCGCCUGCUGCUGUUUCCACGCAGCCCGCCUCGUUUCAGUUCCUGCUUCCCUUUGGGCUUCCAUAUUCUAAAACACCGCAUUAUUCGCUCUCGCGGGUCUGUUUGUGUGGAGCGACUCACCCUGGAGCUGGCACGCCGCGCGGAGCAUCCCCAAGCCCGACUCGGAUGCCUCGGGAAGCCGGUGUAGCAUGCCCCAAGAAGAAGAAGAAGAGGCGGAUGUGGUAUCAGCUGGCUGUCGCCUUGGUGCAAACAUGAACAUGACUCUUCAAGCCCGAUUGGCUCGCUUGCAUGACUUUUAAAACACAGUGGGACUGUAUCUCAUGUGACGAAAGCUAAUCAUUGACCAGCAUGUACCGACCACAACCUUGAAAUAUUGAGCUGUAGUAAAGGGAAUGUUAUAGAACUGAUAAGGGUCUGGUAUCAGGGAAACGAAAGGCGAGAUACUGCUGGUGACUAGGGAUGAAAAUGUAUUUUGAGAUGUAUCGAUUUGAAACUUUUGCUGUAGAUUACUGACAUAAAUAUGAGAGUAAAAUGUAUUGCAAGUUGCAAGUCAUUUUAUGUUAUCAUAGUAAAUAAAGCAAUGUAAGCGUGAAAUGGCCAGAAUUGUCUAUAUUUUCAGCCUGGAUAGAGCCCGGUUUGAAUUUGAAUUUAUUUGGGUUGUUUAGUUACAAAUAUAUUCGAGAGAAUUUUGGAUCAUAGUUUUUGAAUACAUUUACAGUUUUUUUUUAUUUUGCUGUGUUGUUUAUUGCUAAGUCCAAGGCUGUAAAGUUUAGAGUCUGAGCUACUAAAGUGGAGACAAGAGUGUAAAGAAAAAAGCCUCCGCUAUGGCUAUGGCCGUCUCCCAGAAGAGAAAUAUUUGGAUUACUGCGUCCUCUUUGUACAUUUAUAAAUGAAUACGCGUGUCAAAGACGAGGGACUGCUGCACCGUUAUUUCCUAGAAACGUAAUAAUAUCAUAAAGGGCAUGUUUAGUCUUUUACUCUGACUAAUGGAGUUCUCAAUAAAGUAAACUAAAUAAAGUGGUAUUUUUUUAAACAAUUGGUGCUAUAUAAACUAGUACUGAACAAAAUACUUUUCUUUCGAUGUCAAGUUUGCCUAAUGGGUCCUGAGACUGUGCCAAAAAUGUGUCAGGUUGUCCCAGCUCAAAUAAAUGAUAAAACAAAGGAAAUAG
rnacentral:lncRNA from 1 species